GACGAACGCUGGCGGCGUGCUUAACACAUGCAAGUCGAACGGAAAGGCCCUGCUUUUGUGGGGUGCUCGAGUGGCGAACGGGUGAGUAACACGUGAGUAACCUGCCCUUGACUUUGGGAUAACUUCAGGAAACUGGGGCUAAUACCGGAUAGGAGCUCCUGCUGCAUGGUGGGGGUUGGAAAGUUUCGGCGGUGGGGGAUGGACUCGCGGCUUAUCAGCUUGUUGGUGGGGUAGUGGCUUACCAAGGCUUUGACGGGUAGCCGGCCUGAGAGGUUGACCGGCCACAUUGGGACUGAGAUACCGCCCAGACUCCUACGGGAGGCAGCCGUGGGGAAUAGUGCAAAAUGGGCGAAAGCCUGAUGCAGCAACGCCGCGUGCGGGAUGACGGCCUUCAGGCUGUAAACCGCUUUCGCCUGUGACGAAGCGUGAGUGACGGUAAUGGGUAAAGAAGCACCGGCUAACUACGUG
rnacentral:rRNA from 1 species